UAUUUUCUUUUUUUUUUCCAACAUUUUUCUGUGAUUUCUCGUUUUUCUCCAAAACGAGAACAUGUUCCUGUGAUUUUUCGUUUUUCUCCCAAACGGAAAAAAAAAACCUUUAUUUUUUCU
rnacentral:ribozyme from 1 species